GCCCCACUAAAUUGAAUGACGGAUUACUGGCUAUCAAGCUGACCAACUUUUGUUCCAGAAUGAGAACUCAAGCAGCAGUAUGUUUGGAGAAUGGCUCCCUUUAACUUGAUUUUUCCAUUGCCAGUUGCGCCACAAGCAAAGCUAAGAUCCAAUCACCAUUAACUAAGAUUAUAUGAAUUCUGGAAGCAGUGGUAUCAUUGGCUCAUUAUACCUUACAUAUCUUUCUCUGAAACAAGAAGAAUGAAAUAAUAUGUAUUGAAGCAAAGCAGCCAAAUUUCCUCGAUCAUUGCCCAAAAAAGUUAAAAGUGGAAGCAAAGUCUUGCUGUUAGGUUCAGUCUCCUAGGGGAAAGCUCAUCACCUUAAUUAAUCUUUAGAGCAGUGAGCAUCUGUACCAUGCUGGGUGCAAUGAUGAUAACCCACAGUUUGGAGGAAAUCACGAAUUUCUUUAGCACUGCUGUUGCUGGCUUGCAGCAACCGCUCAUCUUCCUCAUAGAUUAGGUAUGGAGCUUCACCUUUCUUUCUUGACAGUAACUUUGAGGCUCCUUUUAAUACAUGAUAUUCCCAUCCCUGAACAUCAAUUUUGAGUAGAAGCACAGGCUCUGACUCUGGAAUCAGUUCAUCAAGAGGAAUGGUCCUUACUUGAACUGCUAUUUCUUCAUUGGACUUGAAUGCCAGCUUUGCACCAGUGGCUGACACCGCACUAUUGUCAAGCCGGCCAACCAGCUUAUAAAAAGUGAUAUUCCCAAUCCGAUCAGACACAGCAGCUUCAAAAACAGUAACCAAGUCCCCAACUCGAUUAAACCAAAUCCCAUCACAAAUCCUCUGCAAAUUCUCAAUAACUGGCUCAAAAGCUAACACUCUAUAUCCCAUAACGGCAGCCGCAAAACUAGCCAUUCCUACAUUAGCGCCCACAUCCACCACCAACCCAUCUCUCCCCUUUGUCCCUUCCAACAGCUCCUGAAUCGUCGCGGAGAUGUCCGGCUUCCUAAAGGGCUUUCCUUUUAACAACCUCACAAUGUUCUUGUGAGGUUUAUCGGGCAAGGAUCCAAAAUCGGAGAGAGAGUAUAAAAAUGGGUACUUGAGGUUCUCUACUAUGUUGGCAACUACUGGGUGGGCUUGCGGGGAUUUUAAGCAAUCGAAGGGAGGGAUUGGAUAAACAGAUGCUUGUGUUUGCGAUAUUAUUUUUGAGACAGAGAGAGAGGGGCUAAGAUUUGAUGGUGAGCGAGAGAAGAAGAAGAAUAAGAAGAACACAAGAGAGAGGGUAAGGAGGAGAAGGAGAAGGGGCUUGGGCGAGAGAAGUUUUGGGCGUUUGUUCUCUUUUUUUCCAUUCCAGGCAUUCGCCAUGGAAAAUAUGGAGCGGUUUGAGAGAAAGACGUGGAAUUUCUCGAGAAAACUCUGAUGUUUUUCCUGGAAAAUUAU
rnacentral:misc_RNA from 1 species